CCCUUAGAUGUUCUGGGCCGCACGCGUGCUACACUGAGUGGAUCAGCGGGUCAGGUUGCGCGAAAGCGUUUCCUAAUCUUGAAAUCCGCUCGUGAUGGGGAUUGACGGUUGCAAUUUUCUGUCAUGAACGAGGAAUGCCUUGUAAGCGCGAGUCAUCAUCCCGCGCUGAAUACGUCCCUGCCCUUUGUACACACCGCCCGUCGCUCCUACCGAUUGAGUGGUCCGGUGAGGCUUUGGGAUCUGAGCGGAAAGAGCGUUUCGCUCGUUCUGCCCGGAAAACUCAGUCGAACCUUAUCAUUUAGAGGAAGGAGAAGUCGUAACA
rnacentral:rRNA from 1 species